AAAAAAUUCAGAACUAUACUACACUAAGUGAAGAACAAUGGCUGUUACCAAAGCUGGUCUUCUCAUCACUCUGAUGCUACUUGUUCAUGGGUCUCUUGUGCUUGGGCGAUCCAACCCAGGACAUGCAAACCAGCAGCCAAAGAUUUGCCCUUUUGUCUGUAUAUCGGCGGAAUAUAUGAUUUGUGCUCCCGACGAAACUAAAAUCUACGAUGUAGGCUGCACAAAUUGUUGCUUCAUAGAAGACACUGCCUGCCAACUCUACUCCAAUGGUGAGCCCCUCUGCCGCCAACCACGCGUCGUUCACAAUUACUUAAAGCUCAACUACUAAAUUGAAGGUCACUAGUAGAAAACUGCACUUCCGUUAAUGGUGUAAAAGACUUUUCGCAAUUGUUGUAUAACAGUUGCGGAUAUUAGGGUCCGGUUAAAUAAACGUUAAGAUCAGAGGUUAAGGUGUUGUGAUGAUGAAUAAUGAAAUCAACGUUUGUUACGUUGUAGCAACAAUAAUAAUGGUAGGAACUUAAUUACUCCUAGCUGGCUAACUCCUAAGUAGUCCUAAUGUGCCCUACCUUUGUAUGCCAUGGUGGCGUGGUUCUUUGUGUUCAAAGAAAUGAAUAGUAAGUGUGUGUCUAA